AACGUAGGACACAAGCGUUAUCCGGAGUUACUGGGCGUAAAGGGCGUGUAGGCGGACGUGUAAGUCUAUUCUGAAAGCUCCUGGCUAAACUGGGAGAGGCGAAUGGAGACUGCAUAUCUAGAGUGAGGAAGAGGAAAGUGGAAUUCCGCGUGUAGUGGUGAAAUGCGUAGAGAUGCGGAGGAACACCAGUGGCGAAGGCGAGUCCCUGGACAACACCUGACACUGAGGCACGAAAGCUAAGGGGAGACAAACAGGAGUUAGCAAUGACCCCUGAGUC
rnacentral:rRNA from 1 species